GGAUCAAUUUGCUGGUCGUGCUAUGGUACGUACUGGUCUUGUUGGUUCCUCCUUUCCGAGGAGCUGUGAUGUCAUUAAUUUGGUGUCGCGGGGAAUCAGGACUGUUACUUUGAAAAAAUUAGAGUGUUUAAAGCAGGCUAACGCUUGAAUACAUUAGCAUGGAAUAAUGAAAUAGGACGUAUUGAUCCUAUUUUGUUGGUUUCUAGGAUCGACGUA
rnacentral:rRNA from 1 species